rnacentral:rRNA from 1 species
UACAGAGACCUCAAGCAUUAUCCGGAUUUAUUGGGCGUAAAGGGUCCGCAGGUGGCUUGUCACGUCGCUGGUUAAAUGUUGGGGCUCAACCCUAACACCGCCAACGAUACGGAUAAGCUCGAGCAUGGGAGAGGUACGCGGAAUUACUGGUGUAGUAGUAAAAUGCGUUAAUAUCAGUAAGAACACCAAAUGCGAAGGCAGCGUACUGGAACAUUGCUGACACUCAGGGACGAAAGCGUGGGGAGCGAAAGGG